CUCUAUCUUGCUCCUUUGGAAGUUGACAUGCAUCGCCGGAGUUCAGGCCUCCACCGGUUUUCUUGGCAUCUGGAGGCGGGGAGAAGAAGAUCAAGGAGCUGUUGACAUUCCCCAAAGGCUAGGACCGCCUUGAGCAAUAAUCUUGGAUUGUUUUUGAAUUUAGAAGAUUACCAAAUCAGGAGCAGUUGACCGAGGGAUCUUAGAAGGUUUCCAGUAGAUGUCUUCCUUUGAAGUUGUAUUUUUUAUGUUAUUGUAUCAGUUGUAUGGUUAUUUAAGAAUCUUCUUGUAGGUCAUUCUGUAUUUCAUUUGCUUUGUAUUCGAGCUUGGUUGUAA